rnacentral:rRNA from 1 species
GAUGAACGCUGGCGGCGUGCCUAAUACAUGCAAGUCGAGCGAACAGACGAGGAGCUUGCUCCUCUGACGUUAGCGGCGGACGGGUGAGUAACACGUGGAUAACCUACCUAUAAUACUGGGAUAACUUCGGGAAACCGGAGCUAAUACCGGAGAAUAUAUUGAACCGCAUGGUUCAAUAGUGAAAGACGGUUUUGCUGUCACUUAUAGAUGGAUCCGCGCCGCAUUAGCUAGUUGGUAAGGUAACGGCUUACCAAGGCAACGAUGCGUAGCCGACCUGAGAGGGUGAUCGGCCACACGGGAACUGAGACACGGUCCAGACUCCUACGGGAGGCAGCAGUAGGGAAUCUUCCGCAAUGGGCGAAAGCCUGACGGAGCAACGCCGCGUGAGUGAUGAAGGUCUUCGGAUCGUAAAACUCUGUUAUUAGGGAAGAACAAAUGUGUAAGUAACUAUGCACGUCUUGACGGUACCUAAUCAGAAAGCCACGGCUAACUACGUG